GCGAGUGUGGCCCCUCGCUUUGGCCCCUUACGGGCUCACGUGUGCGGCCGCGGUAACAGCGGCCAGACUCGGGGGGAAGGGCCGGCCGCGCCACCACGGAAAUCUGACGGGAGCUGGGGGAGCCCGAGCCCUCCCCCAUUGCAAGGGGCCACCCCCCCGGGGCGCGACGCGACUCCUUUGACCCAACAGGGUGCUCAGGGAGCCGCUGGGGCGGGGGCAGGUGUUAACCCGGAGCGGCCCCCUGCGAGGCUAAAGCCACCCCCAGCUGAGGCUGCGGGGCAGAGGGGAGGCGCCGUGCAGCGGGUCUGUGACGGGGGCUGUUUGAACUACUAUUGAAAAGUAGCUGUUUUGAGGAUGGAAUAUGACAGCCAUAUUAAACCAACAACAUUGCAUAAUUGAUUUUAGGAGGGGAAAUGAAGAACAAUCCCUCUUUUCAGCUUACGGGGCAAAUUUUAGCAGGCAGCUGCAUUGAACAGGUCAACAAAUACAGUAGCAGAACAGAUUCUUUGGGUAUGGUCUGUGCUACAGAGGGUGAAAGCUUUAUAAAAGAUGCAAGUGCAUGAAAAACUGUGAGUGCAUACAGGAAGCUGCUGUGCCAGCAGUGCAUUGCUUUGACUCCUGCUUGGAUGCCACAAAACAUUCUUGAGAGAUGGAGGAAAACAAAGGGCAGAGUGCUGGAGCCACCAGAACCCAAUUCACUGCUGUAGGUGACCUGAGGAGAAGCUGGCAGAGCUGGGCAGAAGAUCACAUUGAUUAUCAGAGACAGAAUCCAUUCAGCAAUGAUAGCAAGCCUGUGAUUAAAUCUGUGCAUCCCCAGAGAGGAGAUCCCAUAUAUGGGAGGCCACCUGAAGGGUCUAAAACAGAGCAAAGAGGGAAAGAUGCCCACACACAUGUGGGAAAGGAAGUGGAAGAGCUAUGCUUGAUCAUGAGAAAUAUUGGGGAGAAAGGAGAAGAUGGAAAUAUAAGAGUGACAUUCGGACAGUUGUUUGAAACAUAUGUGACUAUUUCUAAUAAAGUAGUGGGAAUCCUGCUGAGAGCAAGAAAAUAUGGGCUGGUUCAGUUUGAAGGUGAAAUGCUUUGGCAAGGCAAAGAUGACAAUGUCAUCAUCACCUUACUUGAAGAAUACUGAUGAAUGUUUCCAUUUAGGAAAAUAAACCAUGUAAAUGUCAGCUUGAUAAAGGUUUAUACAGCACAGGGGUGGAAUGGAAAACCAAUGAAGAGGAUGAAAAAUAUUUUUAUAGAAUCCUAGAAGUUAGAGAUAGAAAUGAUGUAAUGGGUUAACUAACUCAUCCCUGUGCCCUUUUCCUUCACAGCUUUGUCUUGUCUACUUCUAAAUGUCUCAAGUGAUGGGGCUUCUCUUACGGUUCUCCAUAAUUGAAGUUAAAAUUCUUUACUAACUUACUACCAAUCUGCACUGGGUCUUGAUCAUAGCUCUGAGUUCACUAGCCUGCAGGGGUGUGUGCAAUUGUGGGAGGAGGGGGGCAAGCCCCUCCCCGCCAAUCAACUAGGGCACAGAACUCAGAGGCCAGGGCAGGGAGAGUGAGCUCCUGGGCCGGAGAUGACAACUCUUCCGGCCCUGGGGCCACAGCAGGAAAGGCAGCUCCUCCAGCCUGGAGGGUGGAAGAGCGCCAGCUCCUCUGGCCCUGGGGGCACAGAGAGUGCCCUGCCAGAAGUGGACAAAUUUUUAUUCCCAUACAUGCCCCUGCUAGCUUGCUUUCAGCAAUGACUAAUACCUUAAAAGAAGUUUGAAGGAAUGGGGUUGUCCAAUUUGUUCUCUAAUACAGAGGGGGUGAAAAAUAAAAUCCUGAGCUUGUCUAGGUUGUCAGGAAACCAUUAAAUAGAGGGGGUAGAGCAUGAGACUAGUAUGCAGACUUAGCUUCUAAUCCCAGAUCUGAUAUUCACUAGCUGUAUGUAUGAUGCAGAUCAAAUACUUAAUCUUUCUUGCCUUAGGUACCACAGUGUCACAUGGGGUAACUCACCUUUGAAAAGCACUUUGAGAUCUACAGCUGAAAAAGCACUACAUAACUCAUUACGAUCAGCUAAAUUGAUUACACCACCACUGCCACUCAUAAGAGAGCAUGUAGAAUACAUUAGUUUACCAGGAAAAUGUUUACCAUUUAUUUUUAGUGGGUUGGGUUCUGUUUUUUGAUAUUUUAAAUUGCCACACAUUCAGUAGCAAAUGUUUUUGAUACUAAAAUUUGUACUUUUGCUCUGCCAACUCACUUUCUUUUCUUCCUUCAAAUCCUUCCUAAAAGAUUAACUUUUUCUGGUUUCUCCACAAGUAAUGAAUAACUUAACAUAAGCUACCAAAAGGAAAAAAAAACUUCAUCUUCCAGUUGUGACCUGUCCACUCUGUGUCUAUUCAGCUGAGAGUGUACGUUCUUUGGGACAGGCUUUAUCUUGUGAAGCAUUGAGCACAGUGCCAGCAGUUUAAUAAAUUUCAUCAUGCAACAAU